AAUCAACGCUGGCGGCGUGCCUAACACAUGCAAGUCGAACGCGAAAGUGGAGCAAUCCAUGAGUAGAGUGGCAAACGGGUGAGUAACACGUGGGUGACCUGCCUUAGAGUGGGGGAUAACGUCCCGAAAGGGACGCUAAUACCGCAUAACAUGCUGCCUUUUAAGAGGUGGACAUCAAAGCCGGGGACCGCAAGGCCUGGCGCUUAAAGAGGGGCCCGCGCCUGAUUAGCUAGUUGGUGGGGUAAUGGCUCACCAAGGCAACGAUCAGUAUCCGGCCUGAGAGGGCGGACGGACACACUGGGACUGAGACACGGCCCAGACUCCUACGGGAGGCAGCAGUGGGGAAUUGUUCGCAAUGGGCGCAAGCCUGACGACGCAACGCCGCGUGGAGGAUGAAGAUCUUCGGGUUGUAAACUCCUUUCGAUCGAGACGAAUGGCCCUUGGGCUAACAUCCUGAGGGAGUGACGGUACCGAGAGAAGAAGCCCCGGCUAACUCCGUGCC
rnacentral:rRNA from 1 species